ensembl:lncRNA
GGUCUUAAAAGACCACCUGAAGGUCUCUUUGUUUUUUCUUGGCAGUUUGAAUCUGGUGCCAGAUGACUCUGGCAUGUUCCAGACAUCCCGAGAAGCCCCGGAUGCCGGCCUUCUGCACUGAUGUGUCAAUAUAGUUGUUUCUUUGCAGGAAAGUAGAUAGUCUUUGGGCCAAGACACUGAAAAAGAUCUUUCCCUCUACGUAGAAAAGCAUCACUAUCUCUCUGAAGGCUUGUUGAUGGGGAACUCAAUGAAAGAGAAAAGGCUGAGCAAACAAUAUGGAAUAGACUGCAACAACUAACAGCCAUGAAGAAGAAACGAUUAAAGACCCACACGCCAAUGAAAAUUGGACUUUUAGGACAGUGAAGUGUCUGACACUGACCAUGUACCAGUGCCUGAGAACACUGGUAUGGAGGGGGAGAACGCACCUCUUUACUGCAUUUGUCGGAAACCAGACAUCAACUGCUUCAUGAUCCUUUGCCAUGAUAAAUUGGUCAGUUUACAACCAGGAGCCGUACACCUUAACCUCAGAGGCCAGGACAUCCAGGGGCAGUGUGAACACACACUUCUUUAAAUGGGAUGCAGGACUGACUAUAGAGGGCCACCCCCUCGCCAGACAACCAAGUGCUGUCCCUGUGCACGGCCAGUGUGAGAAGGACUCUCACUAAAGUCAACCCACACAAAGCUGCUGGACCAGACAAUAUACCCGGACGUGUGCUCGGAGCCUGUGCUGACCAGCUGACUGAUGUCCUAGCGGGCAUCUUUAACAUCUCCCUGAGUCAAGCUGUUGUGCCAAGUGCUUUAAAACCACCACCAUCUUACCUGUACCAAAGACAGCUACAGCCUCGCAGUUCGAAGACAAUGGACGAUGCGAUCUCAUUGGCACUCCACCUAGCCCUAUCACAACUGGAUCAAUGCAACGUCCACCUAAGAAUGCUGUUCACUGAUUUCAUCUUAGCAUUCAACACCAUCAUUGCCCAGCAGCUGAUCGGCAAGCUGGACCUGCUCAGACUUAACACCUCCACCUGCAACAGGAUCCUGGUCUUUCUUACUGAUGGACCCCAGACAGUACAGGUUGGAAACAUAAGAUCCAACACCAUCACACUGAGCACAGCCCCCCCCCCAGGGAUGUGUGCUGAGCCCGCUACUCUUCACGCUGCUGACCCACGACUGCACCUCCAGCUCCAACAUGUGAUGAGUCAAUGUUGUGAUUGUUUGUGAUUUAUGGUCCCCCUCUCUCCUAGCCUCCACCACCCAACAAACAGUCUGUGCUUCCAAGUGUUACUUAGUGUCUUUGUCUGAAAACUUAAUAAAUUGUUAACUGUUGACUCAGUUUUCUCCUGUUUUUCACUUAGAAGGUCAGGUAAGUAAAUUGUCUUUUGGUUGGAUUUUUUUUUUCUUUUUUAGGGACGCUUAGGAGUGUUUAGGUAUUUGUUGUUUGUUAUUUUUGGCAUUGCUCACUGCCGAUGUAAAUAAAUGGCUGCU